GAUGAACGCUGGCGGCGUGCUUAACACAUGCAAGUCGAACGGAAAGGCUCCUGCUUUCUGGGGUACUCGAGUGGCGAACGGGUGAGUAACACGUGGGUGAUCUGCCCUGCACUUCGGGAUAAGCCUGGGAAACUGGGUCUAAUACCGGAUAGGACCAUGUUUUGGAUGCCAUUGUGGGAAGUGUUUCGGUGUGGGAUGAGCUCGCGGCGUAUCAUCUUGUUGGUGGGGUAGUGGCCUACCAAGGCGUCGACGGGUAGCCGGCCUGAGAGGGUGUACGGCCACAUUGGGACUGAGAUACGGCCCAGACUCCUACGGGAGGCAGCAGUGGGGAAUAUUGCACAAUGGGCGGAAGCCUGAUGCAGCAACGCCGCGUGCGGGAUGACGGCCUUCGGGUUGUAAACCCCUUUCGCCAGGGACGAAGCGAAAGUGACGGUACCUGGAUAAGAAGCACCGGCUAACUACGUG
rnacentral:rRNA from 1 species